CCUUCCUGCCGGGACUUUCCCCAUGGAGGGACGUGCCUUGGCCGCCCGCCCUCCCAAGCGCAGCGUCGGUGGCUCCUCGCGGGAUCCGGUGAGCCCCCUUCCUCGCCCCAGAGGCUCCAGUUUGUGGGUCUGAGUCUGGAGGGCUGAAAGGCGGAUGGGGGCGGGGACGACUAGAGGCAAGGCAGGAAAAUACGACGGGAAGGGAAGGGAGAUGCCCAGGUGACAACUGUUUAAAAAGGGAGGGGGGCACCUAUAGGAAGAGCAAACCUGUUUCAGCCCAUGGCUGAAGAUGCUUGUGCAUCUUCCUGGGAGUUGGGUGUGUGCACUGCAGAAGCUCAUUCAAGCUCAUCGCAGGAAGCAGCUGUUUAGCAGAAAAUAAAUAAUAAUAAUACAGUGGUACCUCGGGUUAAGUACAGUGGUUCCUCGCAAGACGAAAUUAAUUCGUUCCGCGAGUUUUUUCGUCUUGUGGUUUUUUCGUCUUGUGAAGCACGGUGUCGGAAAAGUUUUGGAAAAGCUUCAAAAAUCACCAAAGACUGGGGUUAUGUACAGGUGGUACAUAACCCCAGUCAAGCUUGCGAAAAUCUAUCACUUGCCCGAUAACAAAUGUUGGAAAUGUAAAGAAACUGAAGGUACAUUUUUUCACCUUUGGUGGACGUGCCCAAAGAUUAAGGCUUUCUGGGAAAUGAUAUAUAAUGAAUUAAAAAAGGUAUUUAAGUAUACCUUCCCUAAGAAACCAGAGGCCUUUCUCCUGGGCAUAGCCGGCCAAAUGGUGGUAAAAAAGGAUAGAACUUUCUUUAUGUAUGCAACAACAGCAGCAAGAAUACUCAUCGCAAAGUAUUGGAAGACACAAGAACUUCCCACGCUGGAGGAAUGGCAGAUGAAACUUAUGGACUAUAUGGAACUGGCUGAAAUGACUGGUAGAAUCCGUGACCAGGGAGAAGAGUCGAUGGAGGAAGACUGGAAGAAAUUCAAAGACUAUCUUCAGAAACACUGCAAAAUUAAGGACUGUUAGAGUGAUGUUGGACUGAAAACAAGUGGUUUCCAGCUGCACAGGUUAAAGUUAAGGAUAGAUUAAGAUUAAAGAUCAAGAUUAAAGAUGUUUAAAGAAAUGGAAAUUUGAUAUUAAAAGGAAAACUUUAAAGUUAUAUGAUAUUAAGAUCAAGGAUUAGGUUUAAAAAGUUGAAGUUAUAUAUUUUAACAUUUUAUUAAAUUAAAGAUUGGGAUUAAAAAGUGGAAAAGAAACUGCUGGACAAAUAAUGUGGACUGGAAUACAAAAAGAGGAGGUAUGAGGAAGCCUAGAAAAUAAGUAAUUUAAAAUUGGAAAUGGAAAAGAGAGUUUGUUUUUAAUUGUUGUGCUUUGUGUUUUUAUUGUUAAGUUUUGUAUUGUUUUUUGUGUGUGUUGUUUUUCUUGUUUUCUUGUUUAAAACUUUAAUAAAAAAUUAUAAAAAAAAAAAUCACCAAAGUCUUCAAAAACCUCAAAAAAGGCUACCACACCGCGUGCUAUGAGUUGCUCCUCGAAGUCAAGUCGCAACUGUAUUAACGGUUUUAAGAAAAAGGAAACAAACUUGCAAGACGUUUCCGUCUUGCGAAGCAAGCCCAUAGGGAAAAUCGUCUUGCGAAGCAACUCAAAAAACGAAAAACCCUUUCGUUUUGCGAGUUUUCCGUCUUGCGAGGCAUUCGUCUUGCGAGGUACCACUGUACUUAAUUCAGUAACCUGAAACUGUUCUUAACCUGAAGCACCACUUUAGCUAAUGGGGCCUCCUGCUGCCACCGCGCCGCUGCUGCGCAAUUUCUGUUCUCAUCCUGAGGUAAAGUUCUUAACCUGAAGCACUAUUUCUGGGUUAGCAGAGUCUGUAACCUGAAGCGUCUGUAACCUGAAGUGUACCACUGUAAUAAUAUUUAUAUGCUACCCAUCUGACUGGUUUACCCCAGCUGCUCUGGGCAGCUUCCCACAAAUUAAAACAGCACAAAUUGUCUUUACUACCCCAACACCAACACUUUAUAGGUAAAGGUAAAGGUACCCCUGACCAUUGGGUCCAGUCGCAGACGACUCUGGGAUUGCGGCUCUCAUCUUGCUCUAUAGGCCAAGGGAGCCGGCAUUUGUCCGCAGACAGCUUCUGGGUCAUGUGGCGAACCAGAGCAGCGCACAGAAAAGCCGUUUACCUUCCCACCGGAGCGGUACCUAUUUAUCUACUUGCACUUUGAUGUGCUUUCAAAGUGCUAGGUGGGCAGUCUUUACUAGCCCAACACCAAUGCUUUAUACACACUUAUUUAUUUACAAGAUGUUACAAGCAGCUUUCCCUCUCUGAGCCCGGACGGUUUCUUUGCUUACGAAGCCCUUGCUGCGCCAAAGUCCGCAAGGCAAGAGUUCUCUUGCAGUUCUCUUGCAAUGGAGUCCUGCAACUCUUCCUCAAAGGCGUCAGUUCCAAUGCUUCUCUCCAGAGUGCUCUACGCUCUCUUCCCUUUCCCACUCUGAAUGCUGUAACCUGAGCCCCCUACCUACCCAGCCUGACUGUGCCAGUUCUGUCCAGCAACACUGCCAAGGCAGUCACAAAGUGCCUUGCAGCUGCAUCGUGGAGAAUUAGCUCUUGAGUGGCUUUCCUUAACGUGCACGGGUUUCCUGCAUGUAUGUUUUCUUCAGCUCCUCUUUUUAUCUUCACAAGAGCCCCAUGGGGUAGGCUACACUAAUGUAGUGUAUGUACAUAACCAACAGUUUCUUGUCUGUGUCAGGGACUGGAGUGUCUUUCCUCUCCUCUGCAAAGCCAGGAGGCCCCUGAUUCGUGGGGCUUGGAGGAUUUGAAACAGGUGAGUUGAUGCUUAGAAGUGAACUAUCAACUGGACUUUGAUUUCAAAUAGGACACCCCACCACCGAAAUAGAGAGAGAGAAAGAGAAUUCAUUAGUUACACAACCGCACAAGGUCACUUACAGACAUGGAAACAUGGAAACCCCUGAAGUGUAAAGGGGAUCUUUUCACAAUGGGCAUUACUGAAAAAUUGUGUCCUUUUAAUCAAAGGCAGGAGAGAGAGGCUGAUUCAAAGGAAGCAAACUGCUUUUAUGAAGAGAAUUGAAAACAGUACAUUAAAAGUCAACAAACAGUUGCAGACAUUUGGUUACAGGCUGAAAAUGGAGCCUGUAAACUCUAGCAGAGAACAGUCCUAGCCAGUGAUACUUGAAAUAAAUUUAGGAGCGCAACUGGAUAGAAAUGUGGCGUGUUUUUCUCCACUGAUGAUACAGACAAAGAAAGGGAAAGAGAGAGAGGUGGACAAAACCCUGGUCCAGUUAGGAAAAUAUUGGGCCAGGGAUAUUGCAGUGAAUAAGAGGAAUAGAAUAUUCACAUUGGAGAAGCAGUGUACUAGAUCUCAGAUACAGGGAAGCAAUAUGAUUUUGUUUCCAGUAAACAAUUGGAAUAUUUCUAAAUGAAUGUUAAUAUUUACAAGUAAAUAUUAAAGUAAUCAACUAAGAUUCAUUCAGCAGAAUGGCAGCUUUAAUUCAAAACUUUUGCUAGGUAAGAAAUCAGCAGGAAACAAUAAAACAACAUUCAUCCCAAUAAUAUUAAAGUCCAACAACAAGAGAUGACUAAAACCAUUAAACCUACAAGCACAACUCAAAGGAAGGUCAGAGUGUUUUCUUUCUAUAAGGGUGGUGAAAUAUAUUCUGUUGGUGUUAUGCUGAUAGUUGUGAAAUGCCAUGGAUUUUCUUUCGUAGUGUACUGAAGCUUGUGCAGUAAUAAAUUUGUUAACUUUUAGGAUACCAAAAUCAUUAUUUUGUGCUACCUUACUUCAUGUGUUCCUUCCUGGAGGAAGGAGGGUCCCUCAGCUCCUUAAUCCAGCCUCGUAUCUCUGCUUUUCAGGAGUCUGUAGCCCAGCUGGAGGCAUCCUUGGAACAGUAAGAAAGAUGGAAGACCAAGACUCAGCCGGCCUGGGUGGGGAGAAGACCCUCAGCUCAGAUGUGCGGCGCCAGCAAUUCAGAAAGUUCUGCUAUCAUGAGGCCGAGGGACCAAGAGAGGUUUGCAGCCAACUCCACCACCUUUGCCAUGAGUGGCUGAAGCCAGAGAGAUGCACAAAGACUCAGAUCCUGGACCUGGUGAUCCUGGAGCAGUUCCUGACCGUCCUUCCCUCAGAGAUGGAGAGCUGGGUCAGGGAAUGUGGAGCGGAGACCAGUUCCCAGGCAGUGGCCCUGGCCGAAGGUUUCCUCCUGAGUUGGGCAGAGAGCAAGAAGCAGGCAGAGCAGCAGGUGAGAGAGGGUUUCAUCCUGCUACUUCCAAGGGGCCCAGAAUGUGAAUCAAUCACUUCCUGGAAAUCAUCCAUGGAGGAAUGUCCCAAACUCCUCUUGAUGUUUUGCCCUUUUCUCUAAUUUUCUGCCCAUUCACUGUCUUUGAUAUCUUCAUUGUUGUUUCAGGUAAAGGGUCUCUUUGCGGAGGUGGCAGCUAAUUUCCCUGAGAGAGAGAGUUCUUCACUCGAUUUGAAAGAGUGCUUCCUGCUAAGGAGAAACGUUCUGGAAAGCAGUGGAUGUGCUGCACUACUCAGUAAGAAUGAACCUGAACUUCCUGAAAUGUAUGGGAUCUUCUUACAUUCUCCCGAAACUUUCAGGGGAAGAUGCUUCCCCCCAUCAUUUUCCAUAGAUGAAAAAUGAGUGGGUUCAGUAUUUGAGGCCUCAAGCCGCGAGAACAAAUAAAUAAUAAUAAUAAUAAUAAUAAUAAUAAUAAUAAUUUAAUUGUAUCCUUCCCAUCUGGCUGGGUUUCCCCAGCCACUCUGGGUGGCUUGCAACAUAAAGCACAGCCAAACAUCAAACAUCAAAAACAAGAUAUCCUAUGCUAGCAAUAAACAAACCAAUAAAUCAAUAAAACCAAUAAUAAUCAUAAUAACAACAAUAAACAGUUUACAAUUAUACCAAAUUAAAGUAACUGCCAACCUCAACAUUUAACGAACCCAACAAAAAUGAAAGAGGAACCAAAAUUAGAUCUGUUUAAAACAUACAAAAACAUUUUAGCCAAUUGCCCCAACCCAAGAGUUGUUCCAGCAAUGUCCCUCCAGCCUCCCAGGAGCCUUUGAGCUGUUCAGGGUGAGUGUGGGCCCCGUCCCCUAGGCCAGGUGGAAUUGGGCCUUGCAUUUUCAUAUAUUAUGUUAAGAUAGCCAGUGUUAAUGUUAAUUAGAUAAUGUCAAGGUAGAUAAAAAAAUAAGUACAAUGGAGGAGACAUUUUGUAAAGUCAGUGUGUCCUACCCUGAUACAUGUCACUGAGCCCCUGAGACAAGCGCGUGCUACAUCCGUCCCACCAUCUUUGUCUCUCAGGUGAAGAAAUACUGGUGGCAAGACCUGCUCAGCCGUCUCCUGUUUGCAACAGACAGGAAGCAGUUGCUAUGGCACCAGAUCAGGUAGGGGGAAGGGUCGUUGUGGGGAGAGACGUUAGGGGGCAGCCUGGGUUCCUCUGUCUUCUGCUCACCUCUGUAGGUCAAUGUAACCUUCUCUCUUUGAGUUUGUCAAACUGCCCACUAGGGAGGCUGUGGGUGCCCCUCAAGAAGGUUUAAGUUCUGCAGGAUAAUACUCAAGUCAUCUUACUUUGAGGCGUAGUCUGGAUUUUGCUGGUAAAUAACAUAAAGAUAAGGGACACGGGUGGCGCUGUGGGUUAAACCACAGAGCCUAGGACUUGCCGAUCAGAAGGUCGGCGGUUCGAAUCCCCGCGAUGGGGUGAGCUCCCGUUGCUCGGUCCCUGCUCCUGCCAACCUAGCAGUUCGAAAGCACGUCAAAGUGCAAGUAGAUAAAUAGGUACCGCUCCGGCGGGAAGGUAAACGGCGUUUCCGUGUGCUGCUCUGGUUCGCCAGAAGCGGCUUAGUCAUGCUGGCCACAUGACCCGGAAAAACUGUCUGCGGACAGACGUCGGCUCCCUCGGCCAAUAAAGCGAGAUGAGUGCCGCAACCCCAGAGUCGGUCAUGACUGGAUCUAAUGGUCAGGGGUCCCUUUACCUUUACUUUUAACAUAAAGAUUACCUACAAUAAGACAACUAUUUGCUUUUCUCUCAGGGUCCUGUGUUGUUUGAGGAGGUUGCUGUGGAUUUCACAGAGGAGGAGUGGGCUCUGCUGGAUGCUGACCAAAGGGCACUGCAUAAAAUAGUCAUGGAGGAGAAUUGUAGGAAUGCUUUCUCUCUUGGUAAGGUUCUUUGUUUUCAGAGUUGAUGACAAUAGCAUUUAGAGCCUAAAAUAAUGGGCCGGUUUGCACAUUUCCUCUGUUUUAGCACCUCCGUUCCCUUUUUUCCAGUCUAGAAGGUUUUCUCUAUUUUUGACUGUUUAAUUUCCAUUUAACAAAAAACCACAAGGAGGCAAAAUGGUAAAAUGGCAACAAAAUGUAUAUAACAGUAAGCUGUAAGUAACAUCAAGAGUUGCAAUGAGUUCAAAUAGAGAUAGAAGCCAUUGCAGAAGGAAGACACCUGCCAUAGCCUACCUAACCUACCUAACACCACCUAACCUAGUUUUGUCUGCUGUGGCGCAGAAUCUCUCCAAUGUGUGAAGCUCAGAUCACUGAUGGGCUCGUUCCAAGAUCCUUUAACUGUAAAAUUCAAUGAUUGAACUACAGUCGUACCUCGGAAGUCAUACACAAUCCAUUCCAGAAGUCCAUUCGACUUCUGAAACAUUCGGAAAGCAAAGCACAUCUUCUGAUUGGUUGCAGGAAGUUCCUGCAGCCAAUCGGAAGCCCCCUCAGAUGUUCAGGUUCCAAAAGAAUGUUUGGAAACCAGAACACUUCCGGUUUUUGAUCGUUCGGGAGCUAGAAUGUUCGACUCCCACCGUGUUCGGGAGCCGAGAUACAACUGUAAUGAGCUUCUGCCAAAAAAGAAUACACGGGAUUGUUCCAUGGUUUGACCAUUCCAUAACCCUGUGAGUUAGCCUAGUCUGAGAGAGAGUGGCUGCCUGAGAUCCCGCAGGGAGUUUCAUGUCUGAGCUGACAGUUUUGUUCUGGUCUCCAUGGAUCCAAUAAAACAGAGUAUAGAACCCUGGCUGGCAGUUAUGGUGUUAAAAGUGGCAGAUAAAUGGAUGAUAAGACCUGCUUUGCAGCUAAGAUCUUUCCAUUCCUCCAUUAUCACAAGCUUUAUGUGUCACUGCCAGUUAGUUUUGGAACUCCAUUUGUACCUCAGGUUCUUAAUAGUUUCCUCUCUUCUUUGUGGCAGGACAUGAAUGGAAAACCAAAAAUGAGGGAGAACCACAUGGGGUGUUUGCAGAAUGGGACACAUGUAUACAGAGAGAAGCUCAGAGAAGGAAACCUGAAGGGGAAGAAAAGGGGAGGAGUAAGUCCCUUUCUUCUCAUGGCAGCGUGAGCCAUCAAAUCCCAGUCCAAGAAAAUACGCAAAAGAGAAAAGAAGCAAGUAUGCGCUUUGUAUAUUGGAGAAGUUUCCCUUCUAAAUCAAAACUAAAAACUCAUUACAAAAUCCACACAGAUGAAAAACAAUUUAAAUGCCUGGAAUGUGGAAAGAGAUUUUCACAAAAGACACAUCUCACUAUUCACCAAAGAGUUCACACCAGGGAGAAACUGUUCAAAUGUUUGCAGUUUGGAAAGAGAUUCCGUCAGAAGACUGCUCAUCAAAGAACUCACACAGGGGAGAAAGCAUAUAAAUGUUUAGUGUGUGGAAAGAGCUUUCACCAAAAUUAUGUCCUUUUUACUCAUCAGAGGAUCCAUACAGGGGAGAAACCUUUUAAGUGCUUAGCCUGUGGAAAGAGCUUCUGUCAGAAAAUACACCUCACUACUCAUCAAAGAACCCACACUGGAGAGAAACCAUAUAACUGCUUGGAGUGUGGAAAGAGCUUCACUCGGAAGACGAAUCUCACGUCACAUCAAAGAAUUCACACAGGGGAGAAGCCAUAUAAAUGCUUGGAGUGUGGAACAAGCUUUCGUAACACUUCUACCCUUGUUAAUCAUCACAGGAUCCAUACAGGGGAGAAAGCGUUUAAAUGCUUGGAGUGUGGAAAGAGCUUCCGUCAGAAGAAAAAUCUUUCUGCUCAUCAAAGACUUUACACCGGGCAGAAAGCAUAUAAAUGCUCAGAGUGUGGAAAGAGCUUUCAUCGAAAUUCUGCCCUUGUUACCCAUCAGAAGAUCCAUGUAGGGGAGAAAUUGUUUAGAUGCUUGGAGUGUGGAAGCAGCUUCUUAAGGAAGACACAUCUCACUACUCAUCAGAGAAUUCACACUGGGGAGAAACCGCAUACAUGCUUGGAGUGUGGAAAGAGCUUUUCACAGAAGAUCCAUCUCACCACUCACCAAAUAAUUCACACUGGGGAGAAGCCGUAUAAAUGCUUGCAGUGUGGGAGGAGCUUCACUCGCAAGUCAAAUCUCACUUCCCAUCAAAUAAUUCACACACGGGAGAAGCCUUUUAAAUGAUUGGAGUUUGGAAAGUGUAGAAGCAGUCUGAAUAUGGAAUGUGAGUCUGAGACAGCUGAACUCCGCUUUCAGAUUAGAGCUAAAGUGGCAAGGGAUGGGGGAUGGGGCAUGGCUUGAGUAGAGUCCUGAGGGCAGAAGUGGUCCUAAUUCAGGUGGCAGAAGGCCCCCCCCAGUUGGAACACCCAAGGCUGCCCCACUUGCCCUGCUGCUUUUGCCAGCGGUGUAAAGCGCCGUCACUUGUGGCGUUGAUUUUGAGCUCUCACCCCAAAAUGGCACAAUCAUAUCUGUAAUCAACACCAGUGGCAGUGAUGCUUCUCUGCCAACAUCAGAAGAAAUAAUAAUAAUUAUAAUAAUAAUAAUUAAUUAAUAAUAUAUUAUUUAUACCCCACCCAUCUGGCUGGCUUUUCCCAGCCACUCUGGGUGACUCCCAACAGUAUAUUAAAAACAUGAUAAAACAUCAAACAUUAAAAACUUGCGGGCGCCACCACCAAGAAGGCCCUCUGCCUGGUAGUAUAUCCUGUUUCUUAGGAAAUGCUGUUUUCAUGUGUUUCCCCCCAAAUUUGCUUCCGCUGAGCAUACUCCUAGAAGGAUUUUAACUAGUCUGGACAGGAAGAAGCUGAACAGAAUUAGAAUCCAGUCCCCACCCGCUCCCUGGUACCACUCCCAGAAAGCCUGCUUUAAGAAACAUACAUUGGCUUCCUCUUUUAAAAGUGUGACAACACUGGUAAAAAGGAUUGUGUGAUUUCCUCUGGGUUGCCAGGUCAAAUGGAAUUAGCACCCACCUUAAGUCCUCCCCUGUCUGGCUCUGCCAUAUCACACGGGUAUAUCUGAAUUAUGUGACAUAGUCAAGUGAACCAGAGAUGCUCUAGGUCCACAUCAAAACUCACCCAUCCUGGUGGGUCUUAGGUUAGGGCUGCACCCUGAGCUACUAAUUCUUGGCCUAGCCUACCUCACAGGGUUGUUGUAAAUAUUAAAAAGGCACAGGGAAUACAAUGUACACAACCUUGACCUCCUGGGAGAAAAGCAAAAUAGAACGAUACAAAAACUCUAAAUGUGCACUUUCAGGCACAGAGAAAACAUUUAGUCCAGCCUGAUAAAUAAAAGAACUAUCCUUGUGUUAAAGUUCAGUCAUGGGGCAGGAUUGUGUGUGCCCUUUUGUAAUAUGCAUAUUUCCUUGACAGCUGUUUGGUUAAUUGAUUUUAUUUCUCACCAAUAUUGUUUUCCACCUAUAAAUUGUUCUCUGGUAUGUCACUCAUACAUUCCUUAUAUUUCAGCUGUUGCUGAGCUUGCAUAUUUUCACCAGUUUUGAGCUUUGAUAUAAAUAAAUCUGUCCAAUUUC